UCUCCAUUCAUUACUUGCUAC
rnacentral:piRNA from 1 species